CGUAUCGCUGCUGCUCUAGCUAAUAUAGUAGCUAUUAAUGCCCCUUCUGUAAUCGCGCCUUGGCGUAACUUAACCAAAUACCUUAUUUCAACUAGCAAGGGAGUUGAUGUCUUCAGCGUCAGCGUAAGCAGGCCCAUUUGUUAUCAUCCUCAAUUACACCGACUUCAGUCAACGUCGCUUUAUUCAGCCAAUCCAGUAUCACUUACCCUACAAUGGAUACAGACAAUAAUUCACCUCCGCCUUACACAGAUGGACGCCCCUUUAACACGGAUCCCCGCCCACCAAAAUAUGCUCUACCGGUAUAUCCCGAUACUUCUCAUACGAGCAUCACAACUCCGCCCACCUUCCACGCUUUAGAACUGGAUCACCGGGAGACGAUCUUCCCUUCGGGCCCUUCCCCUAUCUCGCCUGCUUUUGCGAAGGGAGUCUUGCGCUGGUGUUGUGUCGUUAUUACUGGAUUUUUGCUGGCGGCGUUCUGUGUCAAUUUGUGGAUUGGUUUGGCAAUCCAACGCUGGCGAUUUUAAUAUCUGUGCAGUAGCUGGUUGGGAUGUUAUAUAUAGAAUAGGUAUUAGCAUUGCUGAACCGAAUCUUGCACUGUGUGUGAUCUGCGGUAGAUGUAUAUCUUAUGAAAUGUACAUGGAAGCACGAUAGUAACUUCGACAGAUGGUUGUCGCCAGCAUUGUUCGAUACGUAUGAUUAGAGGGUUAGAGAUAUUUGGUCAGAAUCGUAUAUGCGAAGUUGGACCUAUUACUUUACUCCCUUCAAAUAUUUCAAAGUUGAUCCAGGCCCCCAAGAAUCGCGAAUAUAAGGUCAAUAUCUGGGAUUGGGGGAUAGUUAGGACCAUCAAAGUCACAUUACUCAUUAUCCAGGCCGUUGGAAAGAAGACGAAAGUGCGCCAUUUAUGCACGAAUAGACCUAGGUAUGCUUUACAAACUUGUACUUUCUUCCUUUGCCGCUGCAAGUGCUGCAACAGUACCAGUCACGAAAUACAUCG
rnacentral:lncRNA from 1 species